UUUAGUAACCCAGGGAACGAAAUUUUUACGAAGACUUACAGAAACGUCGCGAAGCAACUCGCACUUCAACCACACACACCCUCUCCGUCACCGCAUCGUUGCUAGAAAAAUGGGAUCCGCUUCGAUUCUGCUUCGAUUUGAAUUCAAGAAUGGCUUCCUAUUCUGUCUGACUGAGACGAGGAUGAAGAACUUCGUGUUCGCCAUUGUGGAUUGAGAUGAAGAGAGCGGAAUAAUUGUUGGUCUAUGAAGGUGUUGUUGCGUUGCCGACGAAGAGAAUGAAUCAACGAAGAAUCCAGAGUAAUUUCCGCGAGAUCUCGAACGAAUCUGUAUCCGAUCCGAAGUCCGGCCAAAUCGUAAGCUCCGAUGAUCCUUCUUCUUCUUCUUCUUCUCGUUCUUAGUUUGUUUCUCUGAAUUCUGUGAAACUCUUUUGGCUAUGGAGUUGUGGUUUUUGGUUUUUGCUACCUCUUCAAUCUCUCUUUCUGUUUCAUUCUAUGAAGGUUGUGUGUAGUUAAAAUGGUGAGUGAAGAUUGGUGAGGUUUGAAUGGUUCAAAGUUGACGGAAGGUUUGGUGAUUUGUGAAGUGGAGAUUUUGAGGAGGGUUGUUGAAUGAUGGUGAAGAUGAUGGAGUGAAGUUGGGGGUUCUGUUAAGGGUGGUCUUAUUGAAGGUUGGGGCGUCAAGAAGCUGUUGUGGGCGUGAGGCUCCGUUAGCCGGUUUUCAGAAGAAAAAAUAGUUAUUUUAACUUUCCGUUCCAUCCCCUUUUUUUCUAUUGGAGUUUGUUAUGAGAAGUAAAUCAGCUCGGUUUUGGGAGGUUUUCUUUGUAGGGUAUUCAAGGAUUGGUUUUGUCAUGUGGAGAGCGAUUGGAGGUCCUUUUUCUUUCAAUGUCAGUUGGAAAUCCUGAGUUAGAGUGUGGAUUUGGUUAGUGUCGUGAGGUUGUAACGGUCGGGAUUCAGUUAUCCUUUCUGUCGGAGGUUAGAAUUUGUUUUUUGAAGACACUCUGCUAGUUAUCAAUGUCAGUUACAAUGUGAUUGCAAUUUUACUGGACAUUCUGUUAGGGAGGUUAGAAAUCCGUACAGGUCAUUGAAGGGUUAUUUUGAAUCGGUUAGAGAAGGGUUAGUUUGUUAGUUGUGUAGAAGUUUGUUGGAAGGUUUAUUGAAUUGGUUGAAAUUGUGUACAUUGGUUUUUCUCUGCUGCAGGUCUUUGAAUGCUAUAAAUUAGAAGGAACUUGGAAUUCUGCCGGUUUUUCUCAAAGUUGGUUCUCAGUUUGGAAGUCAAGAGAUUUUGUUCAAUCUUUUGUGUGAGCAGAUAACUUUUUGGAGUUUAUUUCUCUAUUUCAAUUGUGAUGCAGGGUCAUUGGUUUUAUGUUUUUUCUAUUAUGCUCCCAUUGAGAGGUUUUAUGUUUUUUCUAUUAUGCUCCCAUUGAGAGCUUUUUCUUCCAAUAGUGUAGAAGUAUCUAUUUAAAUCGUUCACUGACACAACACGAGGUGAAUCUAUAUCUAUAUAGGAGUAGCUUGCAACUGGUUGAAUAUGAAGUCAUGACUCACAUAUAGUAAUAAGUAGUAGUAUCUAAAAGCAGUACACGCUGACACGUGAAAGCAGAUGUUGAAUAUGAAGUCAUGACUCAUAUAUAUCCAAAAAGCAGUAGAGACACGUGAAAGCAUUACACUGCACUUUAGUUCACUGACACUGACACUAAAACAGUAAGGCAAGAAAACACUAUUUAUAGGACACUACUUAGGGUUAAAGAGUAUUGAAACAGUAAGACUAUUUAAAGGACACCACUGGCACUUAGUGUUAAAAGAGAAACAGUAAGGCAAGAAAACACUAUUUAUAGGACACUACUUAGUGUUAAAGAGUAUUGAAACAGUAAGACUAUUUAAAGGACACCACUGGCACUUAGUGUUAAAAGAGAGUAAAAUACUUCCACUUAUUAAGCCAGUAUGACAUUGAACCAUAUCACAGGAUCCCACAUCACAUCUCUUUUCCCUUCUUCUCUGUAAGAUUAUCAGCAUUGUCCAAAGGGAAAUCGGUUUUCAUUAACUCCCAUUGAAUCACACCCUCUUUCACUUUUGAAAAUGAUGAUGAUCCUUGACCUCUAAGAAAAUUACUUGCCAUUACAUCCAGCUUCUUUGAUAUACCUCUCAAUUCUUCAUAAUCAUCAUCUCUUUCCAGCAUUUUUCUUUUCAGUUUUAGUUGGAACU
rnacentral:lncRNA from 1 species